UUCUUUUUUUAAUUUGAAAAGAAACUUCUGGCACUUGGGGUAUUGAUUGAAAAUUCGUAAAAGCAGGACGCGUUUCAGGUUGGCUGACCAGUCAUAAUUGCUGCCUGGGUGCUUGGGGAGGAGGUCAACUUCUUGGAGAGACACCCUCCCCUGAAGCCCCCGUCCUCUGGCUACUCUCCCACUUUCUUCUUAUUAUCUUUGGGCUCUCCGGGAGAGAAGGACAAGGAAAGAAAAAUGUGCCCACGCAUCGUCACUGGCUACAGUUAACGACGAACGUACCUUCGUUUCCUCAUCUGAGAAAUGAGCAGUUGGACUGGUUGACCUGGGGCCCAAAGGUUCUGCUGGGACCCAAAGAGCAGAAACAAGAAAUAUAUUAACAUUUUCUUUAGAAUGCCAGUAACAUCUCAUCAGGUUUCAGGUAAGGGACAAAUUGAAAUAUAUUUAGCUUUUCGUCAUCUGUAAAUAUUGACUGCACAGGCCUUGGGGUUCAGCCUGAAUUAAAUAUGCCCAGUGUGUUUUCUUGAGGUCAGAAAUACAGUGUGGACCAAGAGACAAAACAUAGAAGCUGCUGAAUGACCACUGAUCGGGUAAAUAUAUUAACAUGACGCAGAUGCCCGAAAAUGAGAUGUCUCAUAGCUCUGGGAAAUGCUGCUAGCCUGCUAUAUGUUUAUCCAUUCAAAAAUUCAUAUAUAAAUUC
rnacentral:lncRNA from 1 species